rnacentral:lncRNA from 1 species
GACCGGUUAAGGAAAGGACUGGAAAAACUUAACUAAGGUAUCGAGUACUUCGAGAAUUGAGGUAAACUGGUCAACACUGUUGGGAGUUAUGUUCUCACCAAAGUGUGUGUCCAAAGAUCAGGAGAUCGCUCAGAAGUAAGUUUGUGAACUGAACUUAGUCUGCUGAGACUAAGUAUGUGAGAAGGCACUGGAUCAAGGAACUCGAUAGCUGAUACCGUACCUGAUGCGUGUGAUUGUGAUCAGGAAGUCUGGAACACAUAAAUGGUCGAGUGACCGAAAGCCUGAGAAUUGAGUUAAGGCAUGAAGGCCGUGUGUGGGGAUUCAUUCCAAGUGGGGGAGACUGUUCUGAUUGGAUAGAACAAAGUUCUAUUAACUGCUAAAUUCGAGGACGAUUUCAUUCUAAGUGGGGGAGACUUGUAGCAUCCCCAUCCCGCAGUCUGGACUGGAUCAGUCCAAGGCCGGACUGAUCAGAUGGGACAGACAUGUUGGACAUGUCAUCUGGAUAGUACUGGUCAGGUUAAGACGAUAUUGUCUGUCCGAACAUAGCAGUCAAGCUUGUCGGACUAAGCUGGAACGAUUCAGACGAGGCAGCUGGACUUGUCAUCUGAGAUCAGUUAGUCAAUGUGUGGACUGACUGGUAUACGUUCUGACGGGAACAGAUACUGAGCUGAACAUGAACUGAUUAGCUAAGGAGAAUGGCGGGAUCAGUUACUGGAAUGGUUACAAAGUAGUUACCGGAACAGUUACACGACGGUUCCAGGUUGUUACUGGACUGCUUAACUGACUGGGACGGUUUAUAAACAGUUGAGUUCUGGAACCGCUAAGGCAGUUAAAGAGCAGUUGGAACUGCUGGGAGUUACUGGGAAACCGUCAAAGACGGUUACGGACUGAUAAGAAACUGUCCGAGAGCGGUUACUAAUGGGUUUGGAGCGCGGAAGCAUUUAUGGGACGGUUAUGAAUGGUUUAGGCCGAGAAGUAACCGCCCAAACUCCAUUUUAAAGAAAAAUCCUGCGGAACAGAAAGGGGAUCUCGUUUCUACACGAGUCUGGACAAAAAACACAGAGAAAGGGAGAGAAAAAGAGAGAAUUGCCGAGAGGGAGAUAUCAGAUCGGAACCUGAAGAGAGAUGGCCGGAAGCCCUAUUCGUCUAGGAGAUUGUGGCCGUAAUGAUGUUCUGGUUCAUGUCUGGUUCUGAUGCGAGUUCUCGACAGAUCAAGACUGAUAGGCGGUUGAUCGGCCGUUAUUACUGCAUGGGAUCGAGGCGGAGUGAACGGCAACGGUGGUUGGUGCAGUCUGCGGUCUUAUCGAUCAUUAACGCAUAUUGUGUACUGGAUCGAGUAGGAUUGACGGGUAGACAGGCGGUUGAGGAACUGAACGGUGGGCUUGGUGCGUCUGUGGGUGGUUCUGAACGCACAUUGGAGAGUGGGUGUGUUCUAGAUGCGAUGGCUUACGCUAUCGGUCCGUUCUGAUGAUCUGUGGAAAGGGUCGGAUGCAUACAUCUGAUCGUGGAUACUGAGUAUGGGAUCAUGGUAGCGCACGGGAACGCGAGUAUGUGUCUGGAUGCGAUGGUUAUGCUGUCGGACCGUGCUGUGAAUGGAAGUAAAGAACGGGUACUGAGUUUUAAGGAGGAUCAGGGUAUGGACGAUACGAUAGGAUAGUAUCCGACUGAUCGUACUGAUUGGAUGCGUACCGUACUGGAGGCAUACUAAAGAGGAACGGCUGGAGGAGUAUUGGCUGGAUUGGAUAGUGUACUGAUGUACACGGCUCAAGGGAGUGUGUUACUGGCACUAGAUGGUUUGAGGGCAAGAUGGCCGUGAGGUGUAUUGACGGGAUCGAGGGCUGUAGAGCCGAGUAUGUACUGACGGGAUCGAGGUGUGAUCACUGACUGGUUUUGGAUUCGGUUAAGUAUCUGAUCGAGCUUGCUGGAUAAGAUUCAUGGUCAUGUGGGGAUGGUUGGUUGAGUGACUAAGUAACAAGGGGAUUCGGUUAAGUAUCUGAUCGAGCUGGCUGGAUAAGAAUGAAUGGGAAAGGAUGAAGACAACUCGGAUGAAGCGUAUGGAUGGACUGGCGGACAACUAGCACCGAGGCAGUGAGGUACAUGUUUAUUAUAUUGUCAGUCUUAGUAAUUUUCUAGGAUUCUGGAUAGAUUUAAUGAACUUGGGGAACUGAACUGAACCUCAUAGAAGAAAACUUGAUAAAAAUCCUAAGUUAAGAGAAUAAUUCGGAUAGGGCCAGUUUGGUUGAGGGAAGCGAAUAGAGGACGAACCGACGGUAAGGGAAACCGGGUCGGGGCCUUACACAUUGCCUCCGCGUAAGCGCGGGGUUGUGGACAGAAUUCUUGUUUCAUCUCAAUAUUUGCUAGGGUUAAUGUAGUUUUGAAUUUUGCGUUUUAAGUUGUUUUUCAAGUUUUUUUUAUUGUUAUAGGGUUAGAGUUGUGAUGAUGAACUGUGUAUGCAUUGUUCUCUACUUAUGAAAGACUAAACUGUGUUAGUAAUGUGAUUGAUAUAGUUUGUGUUGUUGUUUGUUGUGUCACUGAUACUUAUUGUUUGUUUGUCUUUUUUAAUUUGUUUCGUGUAUUGUCGAGAGUACAUAAAUUAUAUUAAACUUGUUGAGAGUCCCUUUUGUUUCUGAAUAUUUUUUCUCCAGUUUAGUUGUGUAAGUUGUAUGUAUUAAGUAAUAAUUUUUAUUAUCCUUAUUAUUUUUUUUAUAUGUUUUUAUUUUAUUUUUAAACUGAUCGUACUGAUUGGAUGCGUACCGUACUAGAGGCAUACUGAAGAGGAACAGCUGGAGGAGUAUUGGCUGGAUUGGAUAGUGUACUGAUGUACACGGCUCAAGGGAGCGUGUUACUGGUACUAGAUGGUUUGAGGGCAGGAUGGCCGUGAGGUGUACUGACGGGAUCGAGGGCUGUAGAGCCGAGUAUGUACUGACGGGUCAAGGUGUGAUCACUGACUGGUUUUGGAACGCUAGCAAGGCUGGCGUACUGUCAGUUCUGGAUGGCUGGUUGGAAACCAAGUCGUCUCUCUUUGUUCAUGGUCAUGUGGGGAUGGUUGGCUGAGUGACUAAGUAACAAGGGGAUUCGGUUAAGUAUCUGAUCGAGCUGACUGGAUAAGAAUGAAUGGGAAAGGAGAAAAACAACUAGGAAGAAGCGUAUGGAUGGACUGGCGGACUACUAGCACUGAGGCAGUGAGGUACAUGUUUAUUAUAUUGUCAGUCUUAGUAAUUUGCUAGGAUGCUGGAUAGAUUUAAUGAACUUGGGGAACUGAACUGAACCUCAUUAAAGAAAACUGGAUAAAAAUCCUAAGUUAAGAGAAUAAUUCGGAUAGGGCCAGUUUGGUCGAGGGAAGCGAACUGAGGACGAACUGGCGGUAAGGGAAACCGGGUCGGGGCCUUACAAGUGGUAUCAGAGCGAUUACGGUUCUAGGACAGAGUUGGAAGGAUUAUUCAAGAUUUGUCUAGACCGAACGGACGUGGAAAAUGCUAAGCACGAGCAUUGGAGAACUAACGAGAGACUUGAUCUUGGGAGUGAUCAAGUCGGACUUACACUUUGUAUGGGCAAAUGUAAGUUAGAAGUCUAACUGGAAAGAAACCGGAAAUAAGAUCAUUGAUGAAUGAUUGGAUUGGUUGAAUGAAGUCUGAGUUAAGAUCAUUUGGAGAAUGAUCGGACUGCUUAAGGUGUUAUGGAUUACUCGAGAGAGUUAUCCAAGAAAUUAUUCUAAGUGUUGGAAACAACAGAGAGGUUUACGUAAGUCAAUGGAUCCAGAUUCUGAAGUGAAGAAACGUGAAGGAUUACGUGAUGACUUCAUCAAUAAUAGUUGGUGAGAUGAAACGAAUGAGCAAUGAUAAGCAGACUGGAGUAAAGAAGAACCAAGCUGUUCGAGAAAGCGAAAGAUGAUUCAAAAAUGUAAGUAAGACAAUGAACUGUCAAGGACAAUGAUGUCGGAUAUUGAGCCAAGGAGCUGGCGAGUUUAAUUUUGUAUGGACAAGACGUCCGUAACUGGAUCUGAAAGGGGGACUUCAGACGGAAGGCCUUCAAGGCAAGAUAGCCGAGUGGAUGAGCCGGAUGUUGUAAACGGGAACUGAGUUGGACAGGUGGUCCGAGAACUGAGAUAGUAUCUCAAUGAACGGGUUAAGGACGGGUUAAGGCAAUGGAUGGUUUGCUAAGAGAUAACCUGAAAGAGUCAGGAAAUCAGAAAACUGAAUUGGACUAGUCGUCCAUGGAAGAGCCUAAGGACUAAUGGCCAAGGCACUGAUGCUGGAAUGUGAAAUACGGAGACUUACAUUCGAAUGGACCGUCUGUUGAGAAUGCUUAGAUGGAUUCUAAGAUUUCCAAGGUAACAGAUAAGCUGUUCCAGGAAACUGGAACUGGAAGUUUCAUAAAAAGAUUUUUGAAAAAAAAAAAAUCUGAGUAAGACAGACACAUCGAAAGUGGCAAUGGUAAGCAAGUCUGGAUAUAGAGAACUGGACAAUGGAAUUGUCAAGGUUGACUAAGCUCGAUCGUCUUGGUAGGCUUGUGCGGUCCGAGAGUUGAGAUUAUCGGAACAAGAGAUUGGAAGUCAGGUGUACUUGCCAAAGACUUGUUAGGUGAUCAAGAAACUACUUGGAGGUACAAGAUGCCAUAGAUGAUGAGUUGUGGUCAGAGUUUCAAAAGUAGUAAAUGAUCGGUUCCUAUCAUGAGCGUCUAGAUCAGACAAGGUACUUAGGGGCUGUGAUGCUUGCUAAGGCUUGCUGGAUUUUGGAUAACGGCUCGAUGAUUUGGGACGAUCAUUUGGGUUUAGAUUAUUAAUUUCUUUCAUGCGAGAGUCUACAUCAGUCUAGGUGCUUAUGGCUGAGAUGCUCAUUAAGACUUAACUGGAUAGUAAAACGGCUGCUCGAUGACUUGGAAUGAUAAUGCUAGACCAGACUAAGUGUCUGGUUAACUGGACAAGUGGGAAUGUUUAAACAUUAGUGUUAGUGUUGAUGAUAUGUCCUUAGGAACCGAGUGGGUUUGCUAAGGCAUAAAUGUACUGAUACUGUCUGUUCUGGCGUCUAUGGAAAUCGAGAGUUUCCAAGACGUGUCUGUCUAUCAUCGCGUGUUCUGUCCUGACGUCUGUGGGAAAACAGAGUUGCCAAGACGUAACUAUUAUCUUGUCGGUGGGAAUUAGAUUAGUUCGCCAUCGCGUGUCUGUACUAUAGUCUGCGGAAACCCAAUCUGAUGUCUAUGGGAGAUGUACCUUCCAAGACAUAACUGUACUGUUACUGGAACUUAAGGAGUUCACUGCUGUGGGUUUCCGAUCGCGAUGAAAGCAUGGGUGAGAACUAGUGAGAGUUUGCCAUAACAUGUCUGUAGGACGUCCGUCUGUUUGGUAGGUCUUGUAUGUACUGAUGUCUUUGGGAACUGUUGAAUCAUCCAAGACAUAACUGUGACUGAGUCAAUGGGAAUAAGAUGAGUUUGUCAUUAUGGAUUGUGAACCGGGAAGGACUGGGAGUCCGAAAAGAAGACUGUGCAAGGGAUCAAGUGUAGGAUCCGAUAAAAAAUGUCUUAAAGGAUCAAGAAUGAUCUGGAGGUGUCAAUAAAGAUCAAUAAAGAUCAGAGAAAAGCUGAUGUCGAUCAUAAGUGGUCGGGGACUGGUUAGGAUCAGGGAGUGAUCCGAGGGAACAACUGUAAGGAUCAAGAUGAGAUCCAUGCGUUCUGAAAAGAUUAAGUUCCUAGUAUUCGGAGUUAGGCCAUGCUAAGGAACACUGGAGUACAGGAAUCAAACAGUCAAGUCAGGAUGGACAGAGACUCCUUUGAUCUGAGUCCUAGAAGGACUAAGGUUGGGUUAGUGAAUGACUGUGACCGGUUAAGGAAAGGACUGGAAAAACUUAACUAAGGUAUCGAGUACUUCGAGAAUUGAGGUAAACUGGUCAACACUGUUGGGAGUUAUGUUCUCACCAAAGUGUGUGUCCAAAGAUCAGGAGAUCGCUCAGAAGUAAGUUUGUGAACUGAACUUAGUCUGCUGAGACUAAGUAUGUGAGAAGGCACUGGAUCAAGGAACUCGAUAGCUGAUACCGUACCUGAUGCGUGUGAUUGUGAUCAGGAAGUCUGGAACACAUAAAUGGUCGAGUGACCGAAAGCCUGAGAAUUGAGUUAAGGCAUGAAGGCCGUGUGUGGGGAUUCAUUCCAAGUGGGGGAGACUGUUCUGAUUGGAUAGAACA